AAAAUGAUAUAUCCAGCAGCGAUUCACUGCUUGGUGAGAGCAAACAUGCAGCUGACCUCAACGUGCCUGUUCGUGUAGAACAGAAGGCUAGCUUGUUCCUGGACCUACACGACACUUUCAGGUCAGCAAAAUAACAAGGGUGGAUAACAGUCACUGGUUAUAACAGAUGUACCUGCUUAUAUUUAGCUACUUCUGAAGUGCUUAUCCAGCUGUGAGCUUCUUGUGCUGCUGUCAUCUGCUGUCCACUGAAACAGGUA